rnacentral:lncRNA from 1 species
GAAUAAAUAGAAAAUCUCUCAAUUUAGAAAUAAUUACAUGGAAAGUAUGAAUGAAUUUUCUAACAUACAGUUUUUAAUUUAGACAUGUAUCAAUAUCAUGUAAUUUAACUCUCGUACAAAAACAUGAAAAUAAAUCAAUCAGUCAUAUCAAUUCAACAGAACAAAUAGAAAAAUAUUUAAAAUGAUGAAUUAAAACAUGAUUAGAAGUCAAUUAACUACAUUUGUUCAUCCUUACAAAUAAUUAGGGAUGGCAACGGGGCGGAGCGGGGGGUGGGGCAACAUUUUUUUCCUUUUCCCCCCCUUUUUUUCCCUUCAUGGGGCGAGCUCGGGAUGGGGCGGGGCAAUGCCCCAUGCCCCGCAACGGGGUGCCACGCCUUGCCUUGCCCCACCAACUCGUUCGAGGCGGUUUUUUUGCCCCAUUCGAGACGGGGCCCUAUUGGGACGAAGCGAGUUCUUUUGCCAUUGCUACAAAUAAUCUAGUCAAAAACAUGGUGAAUGAAUCAAAACUAGAAGAAGUUGACAUAGACAUCACCAUUUUAUUUUAGGAACAGGAUGUAAUGAAUCUUUUCAAUCUCUAUCUUGAAUUUUAAGAAAUCCAAAAACCUUCUAGCUUGAAACUUCAAUAAUUCAUUGAAUUCUCUCUUUGAUUUCUUCCAAAAAGAUGAAUUUUUAUGUUUUUUUAUUUGAUUCCUUUGAUGUUUAAGACUCGCAAUACACAUAGGUGGGUCGAAAAGACCUAAAAAUGGGCCCAAAGAGCCCUAAAGCGUCAAAAGUUAGAAAUCUAAAAAGAAACUAAACAUUGCUCAUGGGGUGGCGCGUACUCAACUUAAGCCCUUGUUUGACAGCCAUUUUCGGUGAAAGUGAGUUUUUGAGCAGUAAAUUAUUGGAGCACUCUGACUAAAAAGUUGAAAAAAAUAUAAAUUUACGUGAAGAAUAUUUUAUUGUAAGAAUAUGUGUUUAAAAUAAGUAUGAGAAAAAAAGUUUUAAAAUAAUGAUUGUCAAACAAGAACUAAGUUGGUACGAUGUCAAAAAAAGUUUUAUUUUCCAACAAUUGGUGGAUCAAGAAAUUAAUGGCAUGCUGGUAGACCUAUAAUAUGAAUGUUUAUAUAAGGUUGUAAGUGAACCAAGUCUCCAGUAGAACUAUUUUAAAUAUACUAGUCUAUGCUACGUGUGAUGCACGAGCUGUACAUGAAUUAUGGUUUGAUUAGCGUAUGUAUUGAAUAUGUUUGAAAAUAUAUGGUAAGUUGAAAUUAUUGGUAAGGAACUAAUCAGUUAUACGAGUCGAUCACUCGUCUUUCUUCCACAAAAUGUCAUUUUUCUACCAAAAGUUGUAGAAUCAAUAAAAUCCAUUAAUAAUGAGAAUUCAAGUCAUAGUUAGUCAAAGAAAUACUCCACUGGAUAGUAAAAGCAUUCCAAGCAAAAAAAGUUAGCACCAUAGCAGUACGUCCUUUAACAAAUUAUAAUAAUUAUAAAUGUAUUAUUUUACAGUAGAGAAAUAAUUCAAGGUAAAGCAGAAGUUGGAACCUGAAAAUCCUAAAAUUCUUCAUCAACGGCUAUUUUCCUUAAUGGAAUGUUGAGUACUCCUUAAAACACAGUUGUUCUACAACACUUAGGUGUCCAUUCGUGAUGAGAAAUUUGAGCAGUGUAACUAAACUUCAAUGCAUUGUAUUGUUAAACGAUGCUCUGAUAGAUAUUUCAUUAACUCAAACUCUGUAGAAUUCAAAAACUCCUUAACAUUACUCAAUACUACAUCUAGUUUCGUCCAAUAUUGAGAUUCAAUAUUUUUGAAGUCUAGAAGCUUAUCCUCCAUAUGUAUACUUCUAACAAUACCCGAAUUUUUCUUGUUCACUUCAGAAGGAGGGAGUGAAUAUUAUAAAAAUGAAGCUCUCCUUCAAAGGAAUUAGUUUCUUUUAGAAAAUCAGCCUUUCAUUACAUAAAAUAUUUUAAGCUGAUGUUGUCGACUAAAUAAACUAAUUGUUGAAUUUCAAGAAGAUUAGGUAAACUAAGGUUACAAGUAGGCAUAUCCUGGAAGAAGUUACAAACUCACAUACAAACUAAUAAGUGAUAUCUUUAUUCUUAGAUUGGAAAAAGGUGUAUUAUCAGUACUUUGAGAGAAGUGGACUAUUAGAAAUUAAUAGAAGGUAAAAAUGUUAUCUAGAUUGUGUACAUAUCUAAAGCAUUUAACCCUAUGAGCAACAACUACUAGAAUAGUUGUGGGAACGCAAUUCUCAAGAGGUAAAAAAAGACUCUAGCAUUUAACAAGUUUGAAACAAAUUGCUUUCUUGGUAUAAACUAUAAUGCAGGAUACUUACAAGAUACUACCCUCCUCCAUUGCCUUUCAUGAGGCCAUCCCAAUGGUUUUUAUGUCCUCAUCUCGUUCAUUUAAGCUAAUAAUUAUAUCUCCAGCUACUAAAUCAUUAAUGUUCAAAACUGCCAAAUGAAAAAGUUGAACCGUGGAUUGGGAAAAAUAAAGAAUUAUUCUAUUCUAGCUGUACUUCCACUGCUAAAAAAAAGAUGUUUGGAACUGUCCUGAACAAGAUUCAAUACAUAUGCCUGGAGAUGUGAACAAAAACUUCAAAGCAUUUACCAUAGUACACUCAGAAACUUAACUCUAGGAGAGAAUAUCCAAGUCUUAAUUCUUAUGCUGGUGAAAACAGUUAUAACUAAAGAGUAACUUAGUGAGAAACACACUGGUAAUUUGACAUGAUUUUCUUUUAUUAUUUACACUUUGAGACAAAAUGUUUACAAAGGCACAAAAUUAAUUUGUCUAUGUAAGAUUUUUUUAUGUAUAUCAUAACUCAUAAUAUUAGUAAAACUCAAGGCUGUGCAUAGUAAAUAAAGGAAAAGGAAAGGGAAAUAAAGUUAAGUUACAGUUAUGUAAAAAUUAGAGGAAAAAUGAAAAUGCACUAAUUUCCAUUAGUUUAAUGCUAAACAAAGUGAAAGAGAAUAUUCGGAAUUAAAUCAUCAACUGAAAUGAAAUUGAAAAUCCAAAACUGAAUUUGGUGACUAAUAAAUCCAAACAGCAUUCUGAAUUCGAAUGAAAUUUAAAGGGCACUUCUUCAAAACAAUGUCAAUACAAAUAACCUUUUUCCCUUGUUAAAAUAGAAGUACAUUUUUUCGUGAUGGAUGGUCAAUGAAGUUUGUAAGAAAGUUAUCAACUUUAAUGAUUUGUGUAACUAUAUAAUUUACUUAUAACUAACGGGGAAGGAAGAAAAUAAAUAGAGAAGAAAGAGAAAAAAGAAAUGAAGCACUUCUAUUGAGACUUGCAGUUCGAAAAUAGCUAAUUUGUUCUAGAAUUUUGUUAAUUACAAUAUUUUGUUAGUGAAAAUUUCCGGUGAACAAUACCUUGAAAGUCAAUAAAAAAGUAAGAGGGAAGAUAACAACUAAUCACGUAAUAUUGAAAACAAUAAAUAGCAUGGCUUCAAAGUUAAUCAUUUAAAAACUCCACAAGAAUUAAAUUGUUUUCCUUUCUUACAUUCAUCCCAAAUUAAAAGUAAAUAUAGUAUCAAAAAAUUGCACAGUAACAAAAGAAGAAGAAGAAGAAGAAGAAGAAUUGAGUAGUGGAGAUUAUAAAAUAGUGUAACUAUGAUCAAAAGUAAUCACAAUUAAGAUAGCGUAAAGAUGGUAAAACUGUGAUGAUGGACAGUUUAUUUGACAAACUUCAUAUACAUGUCAUAGUACUUAUAUAAUAUGAGUUCAUUUUAAUAUUCGAGAUAACAAAGAUAACAGAAUCCAAACGCUCAUUAUUCAAUAAAUCAUUUCUGUUUAUCGAUGUGAAAUUGUAACUGGUAAUUUUUGUCGUUUCUGAAAUCAAGUUCUCAAAUUUGAACAAGAUUAUUCCAAAAAAAAAAAAAAGAAAGAAAGAAAUAAACUUUUUACAUUACCUGCAAGUGAAAGAUUAAAUCCCCAAUCCAUUGAAAGCCCAGUGUUGAAAUUAAGUAAAGAGCAUGUUCUAUUACAGUUUUUAACCACUACUCUAAAGAAGGGGAAAAUGGAACCAAAAAAACUUGCUCUAUUUCAAAGUCAACAAAAUAAAAAUUGAUGCCCCACCAAAACAUAAUCGUUACACAUUCAUUGCUUAGUAUAGAAAAGGAGAUAGAGAAUCACCUUGUAAAGACUUUGAAAGCAAAAUUACUGGUGAAAUAUCUAGUCUUGAAUGCGAUGCGGAGGUCGGUAGAUGAAAGAGACGGUAGGAUAAAUAGAAGUGAAAUAAGUUUUGUGGAAGGAAGGAUCGAGUUGUGUUUUAAGCUGUUUGGGAGAGAGUGAAGAUGGCAGAGCGUCGGAGAGAAGGGCGAACGGAGGAAGAAGGCUAGAAUUCAAUUGGAACGAAGUGUAAAUGAUCAUCUUUUUACAGACCCAGUUUGUGAACAGUAGAAAAAUCAGUUUAGGUGUGAAACAGAUGGUGCACAAGUGAACAGUAAAUCAUCA